UGAAAGCUUGCUUUCUUGCUGACGAGUGGCGGACGGGUGAGUAAUGCUUAGGAAUCUGGCUUAUGGAGGGGGAUAACUACGGGAAACUGUAGCUAAUACCGCGUAGUAUCGGAAGAUGAAAGUGCGGGACCGUAAGGCCGCAUGCCAUGAGAUGAGCCCAAGUGGGAUUAGGUAGUUGGUGGGGUAAAGGCCUACCAAGCCUGCGAUCUCUAGCUGGUCUGAGAGGAUGGCCAGCCACACUGGAACUGAGACACGGUCCAGACUCCUACGGGAGGCAGCAGUGGGGAAUAUUGCGCAAUGGGGGGAACCCUGACGCAGCCAUGCCGCGUGAAUGAAGAAGGCCUUCGGGUUGUAAAGUUCUUUCGGUAUUGAGGAAGGAGUGUAUGUUAAUAGCAUACAUUAUUGACGUUAAAUACAGAAGAAGCACCGGCUAACUCCGUGCCAGCAGCCGCGGUAAUACGGAGGGUGCGAGCGUUAAUCGGAAUAACUGGGCGUAAAGGGCACGCAGGCGGUUAUUUAAGUGAGGUGUGAAAGUCCCCGGGCUUAACCUGGGAAUUGCAUUUCAGACUGGGUAACUAGAGUACUUUAGGGAGGGGUAGAAUUCCACGUGUAGCGGUGAAAUGCGUAGAGAUGUGGAGGAAUACCGNAAGGCGAAGGCAGCCCCUUGGGAAUGUACUGACGCUCAUGUGCGAAAGCGUGGGGAGCAAACAGGAUUA
rnacentral:rRNA from 1 species